AGCUCCGGUGGCCUAGUGGUUAGAACGUCCGCUUCGGAUGCGGGUGGGUCGUGGGUUUUAUACCCGGUCGAGUCA